GAUGAACGCUAGCGGCAGGCCUAACACAUGCAAGUCGAACGGUAACAUGAGUAGCAAUACUUGAUGACGAGUGGCGCACGGGUGCGUAACGCGUAUGCAACUUACCUCUAACUGGAGAAUAGCCUUCCGAAAGGAAGAAUAAUACUCCAUAAUAUUACGAUGUGGCAUCACAUUGUUCUUAAAGCUUCGGCGGUUAGAGAUGGGCAUGCGUCUGAUUAGCUUGUUGGUGAGGUAACGGCUCACCAAGGCAACGAUCAGUAGGGGGCCUGAGAGGGUUAUCCCCCACACUGGUACUGAGACACGGACCAGACUCCUACGGGAGCAGCAGUGAGGAAUAUUGGUCAAUGGACGAAAGUCUGAACCAGCCAUGCCGCGUGCAGGAUGAAUGCCCUAUGGGUUGUAAACUGCUUUUAUAUAGGAAUAAACCCCUUUACGUGUAAAGGGCUGAAGGUACUAUAAGAAUAAGGACCGGCUAACUCCGUGCCAGCAGCCG
rnacentral:rRNA from 1 species